UACGGGGGGGGCAAGCGUUGUUCGGAAUUACUGGGCGUAAAGGGCUCGUAGGCGGCCAACUAAGUCAGACGUGAAAUCCCUCGGCUUAACCGGGGAACUGCCUCUGAUACUGGAUGGCUUGAGUUUGGGAGAGGGAUGCGGAAUUCCAGGUGUAGCGGUGAAAUGCGUAGAUAUCUGGAGGAACACCGGUGGCGAAGGCGGCAUCCUGGACCAACACUGACGCUGAGUGAGCGAAAGCCAGGGGAGCAAACGGG
rnacentral:rRNA from 1 species